rnacentral:pre_miRNA from 1 species
UGUGAGACGGAUCUCCGGUCAUUUGCAAUGAGUUAAUGACUGGAAUUGCGUCUUUCGU